rnacentral:piRNA from 1 species
UACCUCUUGAUAACAGCUCUGAAAUGCACGC